UGGGGAAUAUUGGACAAUGGGGGCAACCCUGAUCCAGCAAUGCCGCGUGUGUGAAGAAGGUCUUCGGAUUGUAAAGCACUUUCGACGGGGACGAUGAUGACGGUACCCGUAGAGGAAGCCCCGGCUAACUUCGUGCCAGCAGCCGCGGUAAUACGAAGGGGGCUAGCGUUGCUCGGAAUGACUGGGCGUAAAGGGCGUGUAGGCGGUUUACACAGUCAGAUGUGAAAUCCCCGGGCUUAACCUGGGAGCUGCAUUUGAUACGUGUAGACUAGAGUGUGAGAGAGGGUUGUGGAAUUCCCAGUGUAGAGGUGAAAUUCGUAGAUAUUGGGAAGAACACCGGUGGCGAAGGCGGCAACCUGGCUCAUGACUGACGCUGAGGCGCGAAAGCGUGGGGAGCAAACAGGAUUAGGAUACCCUGGUAGUCCACGCUGUAAACGAUGUGUGCUAGAUGUUGGGU
rnacentral:rRNA from 1 species